GCCUUCGUGGUUUAAUGGUCAGAACACUCAAAGCGUAUUCGAGAGGUCCAAGGUUCGAGUCCCGGCGAGGGCA
rnacentral:tRNA from 1 species